AUUGAACGCUGGCGGCAUGCUUUACACAUGCAAGUCGAACGGCAGCGCGGGCUUCGGCCUGGCGGCGAGUGGCGAACGGGUGAGUAAUGCAUCGGAACGUGCCCAGUAGUGGGGGAUAGCCCGGCGAAAGCCGGAUUAAUACCGCAUACGACCUGAGGGUGAAAGCGGGGGACCGAAAGGCCUCGCGCUAUUGGAGCGGCCGAUGUCGGAUUAGCUAGUUGGUGGGGUAAAGGCUUACCAAGGCGACGAUCCGUAGCUGGUCUGAGAGGACGACCAGCCACACUGGGACUGAGACACGGCCCAGACUCCUACGGGAGGCAGCAGUGGGGAAUUUUGGACAAUGGGGGCAACCCUGAUCCAGCCAUGCCGCGUGCGGGAAGAAGGCCUGCGGGUUGUAAACCGCUUUUGUUCGGGAAGAAAUCCUCUGGGCUAAUACCCCGGGGGGAUGACGGUACCGGAAGAAUAGGCACCGGCUAACUACGU
rnacentral:rRNA from 1 species